UGGUUACAAUAGCAGAGAGGAUACACCUGUUCCCAUUCCGAACACAGAAGUUAAGCUCUUUAGCGCUGAUGGUACUNGGGUCUUGGUACUACAUGUACAGGAUAGGUGGGAGGCUUUGAAACCAGGACGCCAGUUU
rnacentral:rRNA from 1 species